rnacentral:rRNA from 1 species
UGGGGAAUUUUGGACAAUGGGCGCAAGCCUGAUCCAGCAAUGCCGCGUGCAGGGUGAAGGCCUUCGGGUUGUAAACUGCUUUUGUACGGAACGAAACGGCUCUGUCUAAUACAUGGGGCUAAUGACGGUACCGUAAGAAUAAGCACCGGCUAACUACGUGCCAGCAGCCGCGGUAAUACGUAGGGUGCGAGCGUUAAUCGGAAUUACUGGGCGUAAAGCGUGCGCAGGCGGUUAUGUAAGACAGAUGUGAAAUCCCCGGGCUUAACCUGGGAACUGCGCUUGUGACUGCACGGCUAGAGUAUGGCAGAGGGGGGUGGAAUUCCGCGUGUAGCAGUGAAAUGCGUAGAUAUGCGGAGGAACACCGAUGGCGAAGGCAAUCCCCUGGGCCUGUACUGACGCUCAUGCACGAAAGCGCGGGGAGCAAACA